AAAACUAUUCGCUGGUGUCAAUAUUUUGAAAACCAAAGUCCCAAAUUCUCUCUUGUGCGUGCCGGGCCAGCAUCCUAAACCUUACUGGUUGCCGGAGAAUGGCGUAAAACGGCGGUGAUCUUCUUCUUCAUCUUAUUCUCUCUCAUCGUUUCAGGUAAGCUUGUGAUAAUGAGUUUCUUGUCUUUCUUAGCUUGUAAUUAUAGAUUUUGAUUUUUUAAUUCGUAUUGUAGCCGUUAAUGUAAAUUUUUGUCCCGCUGGCAAAUUUUUUUGUUCCUACAAGUUGAAGCCCUUCUGUUCUUGUUCCAUUGGUGACUUUGCUCACUCAAAUUAAUUUCGUUCGGCGGAAUUUACAAAGUUCAAAUGGAUUCAUUUGGAUUACUAUUGAAUUUAGCUUUCAUUUCUACAUUCAUUCUAAUGUUUUACAAUUAUGUAUUUAGAUUUACUUUGAUUUUAUGUUUAAAGCUUCUACAUUGAAUAGCUGAGCUUGGGUCUUAGUUUCAUUUUCUAAUUAACUUGUUUUGGUUUAUCUUAUAUGCUCACCAAGGGCUUGUUAUAUUGUCAGAUAAGUUAUAUAACAUUGCUGAUUCUAUAUUAAUAACGUCAUGUUUUAUUUUCAGAAAUUAUAAUAUAAAAGUUUUUACAAUGGCAAGCAUCUACAAACUGAAUUGAUUUGUAGAAUAAGAGCUUCGAGUAGUGUUAUGAUCUUGAAUAAAUGAAAGUUCAUAUUGUGUAAGAGCAUGUAGAUGUAAAGCAUCAUUACCAUUUCUGCAAAGUGCUUUCAUUCUGUUCAGAUGCUUCUCUUGAACUUUGAAAUGUGCCUCGUUGAAGUCCUAGCUAUAACUACUAGCUUUGAUUAAUUAAGUUCCUAUACUAGCUGAAACAGAUUUAUUUAAUUAAUUAAUUGUGUAUGUACUAAUUAUAUUGAAAGUAUUUGAAAACUUUUUUAUCAUGAAUGACUUCUAAAUGACUUAAAAACCUAAAGGAUAUGUGAAAUAAUGCUCAUUUCACUUGAACGAGCCUAUUAAUACUUGUAUGUCUAUGAUUGUUAAUAUUGGCUUAAGCGUUUCAGUUAAAUGGUUUACAUAACAAGGAAAAUAAUUUAAUGGAAAACUUUCGAGUUCUAACAGAAAUAUAAUUGACUAUGCAGAUAUAGUUAUUUUAUGGUAAUACAAAUCAUGUUGCCUUAAUCUCAAUGUCCUAUGACCUAUUUUAUUUUAUAGAGUCAUUCAUUUUUGCCAUGGCUUUUUGUGUUUAUAAGUAUGGAAAUAGUGGGAUUUGGUGUAUCUUAGCAUCUUUGGAAAAUUCUCUUUAAAUGUGGCAAACAAAAAUAUACAUAUAAUCAAGUUUGUUAAUCAACUAUCAUAACUGGCUAGCUAGUUCUUGCCUGCCUUGCUGCCAUUACCCAGGCCAUUACAUUGCAUAGCAUAAGGAAUAGUGAUUAGGUGAUUAUUAGUGACUCGUUGAGCUUAUUAUUGACCAAACAAACAUAUUCCCCUUUACCCACAACUUAGUUUGAUUAGUUAUUAGACCAUAAAGAGCGUUAAUCUGUUCAUUGGCUUUGUUAUUUUUAUUAGGUUUUUCUGUCAACAAAACUGUUGAUUUCUUAUAAAAAUAUUCAUUGAUUUUUAAACACCUAAUCAUUGGCUAUAAUGAAGCUAAUUGAAACUGAGGCUUUGGAUCAAUUUCUUCUAGCAAGAUACAAAUGAGCAGAACCUAUAUCCUCUAAGUAAAUUUUUCUAAUAUCCUUGAUUUGGUAGUAUCUGGCGGCCUGAAAUCCUCUAGAUUUUUUUAACACUGUCAAUGUUCUUUUUACUCUUAAAAGGGAAAAAAAAGGUUAUAUCUUUCAUACCCUAAUAGUAAGUUGGCCUUGACUUAACAUGCCUUCCUGAGGAUUUCCAAGAUUCACAAGCAGCCCCCCCCCAAAAAAAAAAAACAAAUAUGAUUUUGCAAGAUUCACAACCAGGCUAUAUUUAAUUUAUUGAUUGUGUGCACGUACUAGUUAUAUGUUGAAAGAAUAGGAAAAAGUAUUUUAACAUGAAUGACUUAAAACUUAUUGCUCAGUAAACAAAAUCUGCAUCAGUGCUAGAAAAUGUAUUUAUUGUUUGUAUUUUUUAUGGAUUUGCUUAAGAAAUGAUACGCGAAAUAAUGCUACAUUGUAUUAGGAAUAAAUUGAAGAGAUUUAUGUGUUAUUUAAAUUUCAGAUUGAAUUUUAAACUUUCAAUACAUGCAUUGAAAGCUUAGAUUGUUUAAGAAAUUAUUAAUAGACACAUGUUUUAUUAGUGUCAUCUAUGGAUGAUAGUGAGGAUCAUAUGUCUAUUAAUAAUUCUUGAAUUGUCUAGGCUUGAACUGUUUGGGAAUGCAUAGUUUUCUAUGGUAGCUAGUAGCUGAAGUUUUUUUCCCACGUAAAAAUGGGUUUUUCGCUGGCUGCUUCUCAUCUUCUGUGGGUGCAUACUAGAUAACACAUAAACACUCAUAUAUCUAUGUCGUGUGCUUGGAGAACUAUAGGGAGAUGCUGCCGAAAUUUCUAUAAACGUAGAAAUCCCAUUGGACCACUUACCUUUUGUAAAUAUGAAGGGAGUGUUGGACAUAUUGAUGGGAGUGAAGGAGCUGAGUUGGAUGGAUGUAAUCGGUUAUGGUUUUGCUGAGUUAACUUGGCUUUGAGCUUGUAAUUUUGUUUAUAAAUGGAGUACUAUCUCCAAUGUUGGUUUAUAAAUAUGUUUCAGCUGGCUGACCUAAUUUUUUGUUUCUAGGUAACAGGCUUUAUAUCUGUAAUUGAUAGCCAACUGAAGUUCUCAACUGUGGGUGAGAAUAUUUCUUUACAGAAGGUAUUGGAAACUGUUUUUUACGUUAAUUAUUGUUGUAUAUAUACUUUAAUUUUCACAUCUUUUUCUCUGAUUCUUGUCGCUUUGCUUGCUUUCAUAUGUAUAACUAAAAUGAUUUAUCUAACUAAUUUUUGUAGUGCAUUAAACGGAGAUGGUAAUGGAGAAGAGUUGGGUUGGUUUGGCAAAUUGAUAUCCAAGUUAUAUACUGAUGGGGUUGAAAAAUUUAUAGAUUUUGCAUUUGAGAAUGUUGUUGGUGAGGCAAGAAUUUAUUAUCCUUGUAAGAACUGUCGAAUCUUUCGUUUUAAGGGAAGUUGCAAGAGACCAUAUCAUUAUAAAUGGUUUUUGGUUAAAGUAUUAAAACUGGAUAUUGCAUGGUGAGCCAUCUUCAUCUUUGGAAUCUAACCAAGAAACAGGUUAGUCAUGACU
rnacentral:lncRNA from 1 species